rnacentral:rRNA from 1 species
CAAUAACGUAUGUUUAAGUUGCUGCAGUUGAAAAGUUCGUAGUCGGUGUUUUGGCAACUAGCCCAGAUCUCAAUUGAGUAUCUGCAGCGAAGGCCAUUAUUUGGGAUCGUACGGCUUUGGCAUUAAGUUGUUGAGGUCGCUACACCCAUCGUUUACUGUGAAAAAAUUAGAGUGUUUCAAGCAGUUCUUAUGGACUGAAUAGAUUAGCAUGGGAUAAUAAUAGACGGCUCUCGAGUCAGUUUGUUGGUUUGUAUUCGAGAACAAUGAUUAAUAGGGACAGUUGGGGGUAUUCAUAUUUUAACGUCAGAGGUGAAAUUCUUGGAUCGUUAAAAGAUGAUCUAAGGCGAAAGCAUUUACCAAGGAUGUUUUCAUUAA